UAAAGAUCACACUUCAAACAGCUUUUAUUUCUCAAUGCAUGGAGGCAGUGAGGUAAAUUUAAUUUAUUAAAUCAAUUACUCCCAUUUUAUUCCACAAUUCCCCCUGCACUAUAUAUUUUUACUUUUCUCUGCUCUCACACACCUGACUCAAGAAAUCAGCUAAUUAACAAGGCUUUAACAGGAUUAAGAAGUUAGAUGCACAGAAUAUCAUGCUUGAAUACUCUUUAGUCUCACUUCAGUCCAAUAAGAUGUGAAAUGUUAAAAUGUGGGGAACAUCUAAGGACCUAAGGAUCUCGUUAGCAUGCCUUUGACUUGUGAUUCUGGUGAAAUGAAUGAGCACAUGGUCAAAAUAUAGAGAACUUGCUUAUUAGGAAGUUAAAAGAAGAAAGAGUAUACAAGAAGGAGAGGAAAGAAGAAGGAAUGAACAGUAAGCUGGUUUUGGAGAUCUUGACAGGAUAUCAGAGGAAAAUCAGGCACGCAGCCAGCAGGGUUCCUACCAGCUCUGAGCUGCAGUUGUUCACUGGGGCUGACAAGUGCUGAUGUCUUUAUGAGAGCGAUCACAAAUGCUCCUCUCUGCUGCUGUAGGAGCCUAGCGAGAUUUCCAUCCUGGGAGUCGAACCAAAUUGAAUGACUCCGACUCUCACCUGAGAAAUACACAGGAAGCAUCUAUAAAAAGUACAUGGACCUGAGACACAUCACCGCUUUAAACCUGCACCUAUUGUGGAAGCUUCAGGCUGAUGGGAUGUUGUUUGCUGACCGUGUCU